UACGGGGGGAGCAAACGUUGUUCGGAAUCACUGGGCGUAAAGGGCGCGUAGGCGGGUUCGCAAGUCUGUGGUGAAAGCCCCCAGCUUAACUGGGGAAGUGCCGUGGAUACUGCGAAUCUUGAGGAGGGUAGGGGCGUCUGGAACGGUCGGUGGAGCGGUGAAAUGCGUUGAUAUCGACCGGAACUCCGGUGGCGAAGGCGAGGCGCUGGACCCUUUCUGACGCUGAGGCGCGAAAGCCAGGGGAGCAAACGGG
rnacentral:rRNA from 1 species